GCGUCCUUAGCUCAGUUGGUUAGAGCACCACCUUGACAUGGUGGGGGUCAGUGAUUCGAAUUCACUAGGACGCACCA
rnacentral:tRNA from 1 species